rnacentral:rRNA from 1 species
UACGAAGGGGGCUAGCGUUGCUCGGAAUCACUGGGCGUAAAGGGUGCGUAGGCGGGUCUUUAAGUCAGGGGUGAAAUCCUGGAGCUCAACUCCAGAACUGCCUUUGAUACUGAGGAUCUUGAGUCCGGGAGAGGUGAGUGGAACUGCGAGUGUAGAGGUGAAAUUCGUAGAUAUUCGCAAGAACACCAGUGGCGAAGGCGGCUCACUGGCCCGGUACUGACGCUGAGGCACGAAAGCGUGGGUAGCAAACAGG